UUUUGAUAGUGCUCAGAUUUCAUUCUAAAAACCAAAUUUGAAAUUUUGUUUAGAAUUAGUUCUACAAUAUUCCGAUAUUUAUUUCUAUAUCAGAAGAUAUAAUAUUAUAAUUGAUAUUGUUGCAUCAUGAUUAAUGCGCGUAUUUUAAAAAUUAUUUAUAAUAUUAUUUUUAAUAUAUUUAAAAUUUAAAUUAUAUAUUUAUUUAUUUUAUAAAACAGAUUAUUACUAUAAAAUAUUAUGUACUAUAAAACAUUUGUAUUUUGAUACACUAAAAUACCCCACCUGCUUUAAACUUUGAUAUGAUAAAUAAAUAGAGAUUCUAGGUGCUACCUAAAAAUAUAGUUGUCUUAUUAUUGACUGGUUUAACCUUGUAGGAUGGUUGAGACACGUUCUGGGAAGAUGCAAGACGCGUCUGAGGAGAGAAUCAAGAGUGAAGAAUCUGCCAAACCGCAGCCCGGUGCAACAAUAUAAGAAUAUAAAUAUAUUAAAAAGGAAUUUGCAUGAAGGCGCCGAAGAUAAUUUGAUAAAUACACUAUUCUGCAAUAUUUUACAAAUUUUGGAGGAAACAAUAUCAAUUGGUUUCAAAUAUAUUAUAUAUAUUGCAAAAAACAUAUAUAUUUCAUAUUCAUUACAUACUCUAUUCAAAAAUAUUUUUCAGAAAUAUUUUUAAAAUUUAGGGAAAAAAAUAAAUUUUAAAAUAUCUAUGUCCACGAUGUCAUUUUUUACGCAAGCAUUCACUUUUCCACUUUAUUAAUAAAACUUGAAGAAAAAGUUUACAUCAAUAUUCUUCUUGGAAAACCUUAGCAAGAAAUCAAUUCAAUGGUGUAAAAAAUAUAUUCUUUUUUUAUUUUAUCUAAGGAUAAUAUAGCAUCAAAAUAUCUGUUUAAAUAAAUACAUUAUUUAGCUAUUUAUAAAUUGAACUGAAACUAUAUAUAAAUUUAGUUUAUGAAUAUAAAAAGUAAUACAAUAAAAAUUAUAAUAUUCGUAAUUAUAGUAUCGUAAUUAUAAUAAAUAAUAAUUAAUAUAUUAUAGCAAAUUAUUUAUUAUUAUAUGAAAAAAUAUAUAUAUUUUAAAUUUCGAUGUUUGUAUUUUGAUACACUAAAUUUUUCUCAUUGCCCCUCUGCUAUUUUAUUAGUUUUAAUUUGGGUUUGUCUCAAAUAAAUUUCCGUGUCAUUCUGAAGUUUGUCUUCCCUAAUUUUCUACUUUACAAUAUUUUUAAUUUAUUAUUUUCGCAAAAAAAAAAUAUUAACAUUAGAAAAAAGAAACAAACAAUAGUCUCUCUCCCCCCCCCCCCCCAUACCAUAAUUAAUUAUUAAUUAAUUUGAUAUUCUCCAAGAUUAUUCAUAUUCUUGAAUAUAUUUCUAUAUUUUGAAAAUAGAGCAAUCCAUACUUAAUUCAUUAUAUAAUAAAAAGGCAUAUAUUGGAUUUAAUAAAAGAUUUAUUUUGCCAAUAUUUCGGCUGGCUGAACGCUAACCUUUAUCGAGGCAUUUCAUUUUUGUAUACAUAAACUCACACAAAUACACUAUGCGGCGCUGAGGUUGUGUAUACAAAAAUGUAAUGCCUCGAUAAAGAUUGGCGUUCAGCCAGCCGAAAUAUUGGCAAAAUAAAUCUUUUAUUAAAUCCGAUAUAUGCCUUUUUAUUAUCUAAUAUUUAUAUAUGCAUAUAUAAACAAGGAAGCGAAUCUACUUAUAUAAUUGCCUUAUUCUGUCUGUCUGAAGCUCACUGUCUGAAGUUCACGGAUAGAAUGCGCGCCCAUUGGCUGCCCGCGAACACGUGGCCUCCCUGCCCCCCUCGAGACAACCCUGUUAUCAGCUGUGUGAUACAUACACCUGUCUAUAGCGGCCAUUCUAGACAACCCUGUUAUCAGCAGUGUGUUACAUCCACCUGUCUAUACAGACCACCCUGUCUAUAGCGGCCACUCUAAACACCCCUGUUAUCAGCAGUGUGCUACAUCCACCUGUCUAUACAGACCACCCUGUCUAUAGCGGUCACUUUAGGCAACCCUGUUAUCAUCAGUGUGUUACAUUCACCUGUAUAUACAGACCACCCUGUCUAUAGCGGUCACUUUAGGCAACCCUGUUAUCAGCAGUGUGAUACAUACACCUGUCUAUACAGAACACCCUGUCUAUAGCGACCACUCUAGACAACCCUGUUAUCAGCUGUGUGAUACAUCCACCUGUCUAUACAGACCACCCUGUCUAUAGCGGCCACUCUAGGCAACCCUGUUAUCAGCUGUGUGAUACUUUCACCUGUCUAUACAGACCACCCUGUCUAUAGCGGCCACUCUAGGCAACCCUGUUAUCAGCUGUGUGAUACAUCCACCUGACUAUACAGACCACCCUGUCUAUAGCCGCCACUCUAGGCAACCCUAGGAAGCAAGAUGUAUACAAGGUCAAGGGAUGAGAAUCGAACCCACGACCUUCCGCUUACCGGGCAGAUGCCAUGACCACUAGGCUAUAGGCUCAUUAUUUCUUUAUACCGUUAUUAUACCGUUAUAUUAUAUAUAGUUAAAACAUUUUAAAAACACACAGUUUGGAACGGGACGUUUCACAAGAGUGACAUCCAUGGCGCCAAUUUAUAAUUGUAACGAAUAGUAUUUGAAUUAAAACGUUUUUAAAAUAUAUUCGCACUCGGGUAAAACCCGGGCAUUGCCCGGGCCAUUCGUCUAGUACAAAAUAAGUGACUAAAAAGACCAACUACGACUAGAAGGAAUUCAAUGCCCUUCCUUUUUGCCCCCUAUUGAUAAUUACUAUCAUAUUUAUAUAUGAUCAAUUGUUUUAAAGAGUAUCAAUCCGCAUUAGUUAACUUUACUAUCAAUUCUAAUUUAUAUAAUCCUAUUCUCGCGAUUAAUAAAAUCUCUUUUUUACUAAUAAUAAUUAUAGAUCAUUACUUUCUUUAUUAUCAAAAUAUUUUACUGUAGUACUACAAGUAAUUAAUACAACUUGUAUUUUAAUAGAUAUUUGAUUAGUCAAUAAGAGUAAUGUUGUGUGAAGUAUCAAAGGAUUAUUAAUCAAUUUAAAACGUUUUGAUGAAGAUAUAUUGGCAAUUAUUCAAAUGAGUUCAUCUACCCAUUGUCCCAAAGUGACUCUAUACCUCGAGAUAGUUAAGUUAGGUUAGAAAUAGUAUAGUAGAAUGCCUGGAGUGUUAAUAAUAAGGGAGCCAAAUAAAUUAUAACUCCAGAAAUUGGCUGUCAGAAGUAAUUCCUUGUGUUAUUACUGGUUUGCAGGGCCGGGGGAAUUGGCAAACAAUAUUGGCACUUAAUGUAUUGUCUGAGUAAUUAAAACAGCCUUGGGGCUUUCUAGCCCGUCUCCCUUUGCUUAUUGUCCUCCCCGAGUUGAUGAUUAUAAUGAUAAUUAAUGCCUUUUCUUGAUGCUUCUAAGCCUAUCAUCAAGUGUUGAGAGAGUCCCCCCUCUUUCAAUUAUUCUUCCAUAUGUUUAGAUUCUUCAAUCUAUUUCAUAAAUUCAAAAAUUAUCAGAAUACAUAAUAUUCAUAUAUAUACAGGGUGUACCAGGUAAAUUGGGAAUUUCAACAAUGGUAUUUUAACAGAAAUUUUUUGCAAGUAAAAAUUAAAAUAUCCGAAUGAAAUUUGACACAGUAGUAGAUAAAAGGAUAUAGUUUUUAUUUAUUCAAUGUAGUUUCCAUUAUUAGCUACAACAAUCUCGAGGCGAGUGCGGAAUGAAGCACAGGCCUUGGCGACGAUGACCUUGUCCAUUUGGGUCAUCACCGUGUGAACUGCUUUCUUGACAGACUGGAUGGUGGUAUGAUGAGCUUUGUUGACAUCUCUCUCAACAACGCCCCAUACAUAGUAGUCGAGGGGAUUGCAAUCUGGAGAAUUAGGGGGCCAAAUAUCAGGACCCCAGUGACUAGGGACGUUAAGUGUCAGCCACGAUUGUGUCUUUUUUGCCUUAUGGGCUGGAGCUGAGUCCUGUUGGAAGACAUACUUCCUUCCUGCGGCCACCAUGUCCAUCCAAGGCUUCACAACGGUCUCCAGAACAUUGAUGUAAGUGUCAGCGUUCAUCCUAAGGCCCUUCUCAAAGAAAUGGGGAGGCAUGACAUCACCUUCACUGCUGAUAACGCCAAGGACCAUUACGGAGGCAGGAAAUUUCGUGUGCAUCACGACAGGUAUCUCUGAGGGGUCUUUACAGAUCCAGCGAUCAUUCCUGGGAUUUACCUUUUGGUCCACGUCAAAGUUCUUUUCGUCAGAGAAGAACCUUAGCAUGCCAAAAGAGUCGUGUUUCAGGUUGUUGAGGAGGGCAGCAGCCUUUCCUUUUCUGUUAUUCUUCAUAUUCUAAGUCAGCAACUGACCUUUCCGAAGGGCAUAAGACUUGAGACCAAGGUCCUCAUGGAUAGUUCUGACAAUUGUCAUAGAGCCAACGUCCAUUUCCUUGGCUAUGGCCCUCAUGCUCUUCCCAGGGUUUCCAUCAAUCUUCUCCUUGACAUUUUUGACAAAUUCUUCGCCUCUUACCCUGUCCGAUCGACGCGAGUGCUUUUUCCUUGUAGCUAUCCCCUCUUUGUUACUGUCGGCCUCAUCAAACUGCUUCUUGACACGAUAAAUAGUGGUUUUGGGCAACUUAAGAAAAUCCACUAUCUCUUUGGGGCUCCUUCCGGCGCGCAGAGCAACGAUGAUGGCAGCUCGAUUUUCAAAUUCUCGGUUACUCUUCAUCACUACACUGCGCACACAUGUACUGUUGCAUUUAACAUGAAUAUGGCUACGUAAUGAAAAAAAAAACAAGUUUUUAAUCUCAAGUAGUUUUUGUUUUAUGGACUGUCAAAGUUAGUCCCAAUUUACCUGGUACACCCUGUAUAUAUAUAUAUAUAGUGUAAAAACUAUAUAAAAAAAAUAUAACAGUGAUUCUACAUUUAAAACUUAAGGAGCAAACUGAUAAGAAUGAUAAAUAUAUAUAUAUAUAUAUAUAUAUAUAUAUAUAUAUUUUAUAUAAAAAUAAUGAAGAUUAGAAAUAGCUUUAAUUGAGCUUAUGAAAUAUAAGUACUGCCUGGCUUAAAGCGUAAUAAUAAAAAAAUGGAAAACUUAUUUACAUAAUGUACAAAGGGUUUGAGCCGGCCAUCGGGAAACAACAGCAACGAGUUUAUAUAGGAGAAGCGUGACCUCUGGCGGUCGAUUUAACAGAGUAUUAGAAUCUAUGAAAUAUAAUUUUAAAUGAAAUAAUAUUUUAAUAUAACAUAUAUAUAUAUAUACACUAAAGGGGAGUUAAACCUAUUGAAAAAGGUUUGAAAGUUCGUUUCUUUUUAUUGAAAUAAUAGAAUAAACAUUUUUCCGUUGUUCUUAGAACUUAGAAUUCCUAGAAUUCUAACGCUUAUAAAUAGAUAUAUUAGUGUAGAAAACAUAAAUAUAUGACAUAUAUUCAUUAAAACAGUUCAAAUAUAUAAAAAAAGAAAGCCAUUUACAAAAGCGACGACAGAAAGAAUCGAGCUAAGCCGACAGUGUAGGGUGUGGGAGAUGGUAUUGAUAAAAAAGCAUCAGCAAAGUUUUAGCGGGGAGUUGGUAUUCCGUCUAGAUCCGGCGGGUGGAUAUGACAGCGAGAUGAUCCCAUUUGAAAGUCCAAUGUGGGGGACUGAGUCUGUGGGAAAUGACUCCAUUACAACACCAACCGUUUUAUAUAUUCGGUUUUAUAUAUAUCGUAUAUAAUACAAUAUAAUGCGGCUUAUGAUUGUAAAAGGAUAUUUGAAAAUUAUCCCGCAUGUGUUUCUUUUAAACAUAUAAUCGAAAUUUAUUUUUAAGGAGAAAUAACGAUUAUGUCUAGCCUUAGGAAUGAAGUAUGAAAUUAUGAAUUGUGAAGAGUAAUUAUAAACGGAAAAACACUCUUUAAAAAUAAAUUUCGAUUUUUGGUUCAAAAGAAACACAUGCGGGAUAAUUUUCUAAUGUCGUUUCAUAUAUCGUAUAUGUUUAUUUCACCUUAUAUAAUACUCAAGUUUAUUAUUAUAUAAACCAAUUUCUCACUUAUCAAUAUUUUAGUAGUCUCAGUAGAUGGAAAACCCUGAAUUAUAAUCAGAGAAAGCUUCUUUUUAACAACAACUGUAAUUAGAUAAAGAACAUGUGAAUUGGUUAUUCACGUUCAAGUACAAAAUGAACACGUGUGUUAAACCAUCAAAUAUUAAAAAUAAUUAGUCUAUUAAUAAUUAUAAAUAGUGAUUUUGCUUAUAAAAACAGAAUAAAAUUCAUAUUUGAACAAUUUAGUUCAUUUGUUAGAACAAUUGGUGUGUGAGUUUAAACAUAUAUUUGAAAUAUUUGAUAAUUCGAAAAGUAAAAUUUGAUAAUAUUCUUCAAUCUUCAUAAUAUAUACCUCAAAUCUUUCAAAAAUAUAAAAAUGAUAAACUGUGUAAGUACAAUAACAUUGCAAAUUACAUUAGUUCUUAUCAAAGUCUUCUUAAAAAUUAAUAUUUACAAAAAUGUUUUUAGAAAGAAUUCCCAAUCUUAAUAUUAAGAUGAUUGAAAUGGUAUAAAAUAUAAUUUUAUUUCUCAAUAAUGUUAUAUAAGUUCACGAAUUGAUUUCAAGUAUAUAAUAUAAUAUAUAAUGCUCGUGUGGAGGCGAAGAACAGAACCCCAGACACUUAUUAACUGACUGCCCGCUGACUGCUGACCUUAGGGAACUAAAUGAACUUCCUAUAACAAAUAUGCAACAUCUGGUCUACACUAAGGAAAUACACCAAAGAUUCAACAAAUUCUGCAGAAUGUACCUAACUAAAUAAGUGACUACUAAUGUAAUUAAUUUGCAUACUGAUAUGUAAAUAUGUAUAUAUCCCUUUAAACUACUUUUUCUUUUUUCAUUCAAAUUUAUUUAUUUCACACGCAAAUAUCCGAUUUGCGGAUAUAGCGUGUAUUCUGCAAUUGUUAAAUAAAAUAAAAUACCAAACCAAAAGGUAUAAUAUAUAUUAAUUAUUAAUGAAUAUAUUUUAUAUUUGAAAUAUGUAUAUAGAGCUCUACGAUCAAAUGUUGUACAACCUGAAAAUAUUUUUAUGAAGAAAAUAAAGUCUCCAGGGCUAUGUUUCUUGUUCAAAUUUUAUUCUCUAGCUUUCGGACCUGUCAGUCUUUCCACAGGAGUAUCACGACAAAAUAUUGAUGGUAUAUAUACUAUUUUUAUACGAAAUAAUUUUUUGCAUAUUUAAUUUUAUAAAUAUUUAAUUUAACCAAGAUAAUAAUAAUUGAUAGAAAAUAUUUUUGUUGUACAAAACAUUGCAAAAAUCUAUAUAUAAAAAACCACCUCUAUAUCUUUUUGUAAAAAAAUAUUUAUUUCAUCCACUUCAUAUUCCUUACUUUUUUCUAUGUGACAUUUUUGUGGAGAUACUGGGUGGAUUCCCGAAGACCAUCUGACGAUUUAUGAGCAGACCCAAUAGGUACUGUAAAUUCUUUUCACGAUUGACUCCAAUAUUCGACCGCCGUGUCAAAGUCAAGACUUCUCUCUAAGAAGACAAAUUGAAGAGGACACUACGAUGAUAAAGCCGUCCUUCAUUUCGCAAAAAAAAAAAAAAAAAAGAUUUGACAUAAUAAGGUUCAUCUUCUAAGCCCUGAAAAAUCUUGACAGAAAUAUAUAAGAUCGGUAUGGUAAGCUGUGGAUUACAGUCCCAUAGGACGGAAGCCUUGUAACAGAAUAUUUAUUAUUUUAUUCACAGAUUAUUAAAUAUAAUAUUUUGUUACUGAGCGCUUUUUCACACCUUGCCCUCUUUUCAAUUUUAAAUGAAUAUGGUAAAAUUAUUUUGAUAAAAAUAAAUUGCCAUGGCAUAUUUAUGAAUACACAAACACAUACAGCUUUAU